rnacentral:rRNA from 1 species
UAGGAAUCUGCCCGGUAGUGGGGGAUAACCUGGGGAAACUCAGGCUAAUACCGCAUACGUCCUACGGGAGAAAGCAGGGGAUCUUCGGACCUUGCGCUAUCGGAUGAGCCUAUGCCGGAUUAGCUAGUUGGUGAGGUAAUGGCCCACCAAGGCGACGAUCCGUAGCUGGUCUGAGAGGAUGAUCAGCCACAUCGGGACUGAGACACGGCCCGAACUCCUACGGGAGGCAGCAGUGGGGAAUAUUGGACAAUGGGCGCAAGCCUGAUCCAGCCAUGCCGCGUGUGUGAAGAAGGCCUUCGGGUUGUAAAGCACUUUCAGUGGGGAAGAAAGCCUGGGACCUAAUACGUCCGAGGAAAGACAUCACCCACAGAAGAAGCACCGGCUAACUCCGUGCCAGCAGCCGCGGUAAUACGGAGGGUGCGAGCGUUAAUCGGAAUUACUGGGCGUAAAGCGCGCGUAGGCGGUCUGAUAAGCCGGUUGUGAAAGCCCCGGGCUCAACCUGGGAACGGCAUCCGGAACUGUCAGGCUAGAGUGCAGGAGAGGAAGGUAGAAUUCCCGGUGUAGCGGUGAAAUGCGUAGAGAUCGGGAGGAAUACCAGUGGCGAAGGCGGCCUUCUGGACUGACACUGACGCUGAGGUGCGAAAGCGUGGGUAGCAAACAGGAUUAGAUACCCUGGUAGUCCACGCCGUAAACGAUGUCGACUAGCCGUUGGGGUCCUUGUGACCUUUGUGGCGCAGUUAACGCGAUAAGUCGACCGCCUGGGGAGUACGGCCGCAAGGUUAAAACUCAAAUGAAUUGACGGGGGCCCGCACAAGCGGUGGAGCAUGUGGUUUAAUUCGAUGCAACGCGAAGAACCUUACCUACCCUUGACAUCGUGCGAACUUGGUAGAGAUACCUUGGUGCCUUCGGGAGCGCAUAGACAGGUGCUGCAUGGCUGUCGUCAGCUCGUGUUGUGAAAUGUUGGGUUAAGUCCCGUAACGAGCGCAACCCUUGUCCUUAUUUGCCAGCGGGUAAUGCCGGGAACUCUAAGGAGACUGCCGGUGACAAACCGGAGGAAGGUGGGGACGACGUCAAGUCAUCAUGGCCCUUACGGGUAGGGCUACACACGUGCUACAAUGGCCGGUACAAAGGGUUGCGAAGCCGCGAGGUGGAGCUAAUCCCGAAAAGCCGGUCUCAGUCCGGAUCGGAGUCUGCAACUCGACUCCGUGAAGUCGGAAUCGCUAGUAAUCGUGAAUCAGAAUGUCACGGUGAAUACGUUCCCGGGCCUUGUACACACCGCCCGUCACACCA